rnacentral:rRNA from 1 species
UACGUAGGGGACGAGCGUUGUCCGGAAUUACUGGGCGUAAAGGGCGCGCAGGCUGCGUUACAAGUCAGCUGUUAAAUGCAUGGGCUUACCCCAUGAGUGCGGUUGAAACUGUAGUGCUAGAGUACUGUAGAGGCAAGCGGAAUUCCCAGUGUAGCGGUGAAAUGCGUAGAUAUUGGGAGGAACACCGGUGGCGUAGGCGGCUUGCUGGACAGUAACUGACGCUGAGGCGCGAAAGCCAGGGGAGCAAACGGGAUUAGAUACCCCGGUA